UGCCAGCCGCCGCGGUAAUACGGAGGGGGUUAGCGUUGUUCGGAAUUACUGGGCGUAAAGCGCACGUAGGCGGACUGGAAAGUUGGGGGUGAAAUCCCAGGGCUCAACCCUGGAACUGCCUCCAAAACUAUCAGUCUAGAGUUCGAGAGAGGUGAGUGGAAUUCCGAGUGUAGAGGUGAAAUUCGUAGAUAUUCGGAAGAACACCAGUGGCGAAGGCGGCUUACUGGCACAUUUCAGACGCUGAGGCACGAAAGCGUGGGGAGCAAACAGGAUUAGAUA
rnacentral:rRNA from 1 species